rnacentral:rRNA from 1 species
CGUGCCGUGAGGUGUUGGGUUAAGUCCCGCAACGAGCGCAACCCCUGUUCUUAGUUGCCCCCGGGUAAUGCUGUGGCACUCUAAGGAGACUGCCCGUGUUAAGCGGGAGGAAGGUGGGGACGACGUCAAGUCAUCAUGGCCUUUAUAUCCAGGGCUACACACGUGCUACAAUGGAUGGUACAGAGAGUCGCUAACUCGUGAGACGGCGCUAAUCUCAAAAAGCCAUCCUCAGUUCGGAUCGAAGUCUGCAACUCGACUUCGUGAAGCUGGAAUCGCUAGUAAUCGCGGAUCAGCAUGCCGCGGUGAACACGUUCCCGGGCCUU